rnacentral:rRNA from 1 species
AUAGCAUAUAUUAAAGUUGUUGCAGUUAAAAAGCUCGUAGUUGGACCUCUGGAGGACUGCCAAUGUCCGCUUCGGCGUGCGCAGCGGCGGUCUUCCAUCCUUCUGUUAACUCUUCUUGGCCUUAACUGGCUGGUUGAGGGCUCAGAUAUUUUACCUUGAGAAAAUUAGAGUGUUUCAGGCAGGCUUGCGCCCGAAUACAUUAGCAUGGAAUAAUAGAAUAAGACUUCGGUCUCCUUUGUUGGUUUGAGGGAUUGGAGUAAUGAUUAAUAGGGACAGUUGGGGGCAUUAGUAUUUAAUUGUCAGAGGUGAAAUUCUUGGAUUUAUUGAAGACUAACUACUG